GUCAGCAUGGCGUAGUGGUUUGAGUGUUAGACUGCAACUCUGGAGAUCAGGGUUCAAUUCCCUUUAAGCCU
rnacentral:tRNA from 1 species